CUCAGUAACAUAUACACAAGCCCACCCCGAAUUAUUCAGGAAUAAAUACUAAAAUAUCGUGUUUUAUUGUGAUGAAAUGUGGUCUGAAAAAGCAGAAUAGGAUAAGACUUUCACCUGGCAAGCGUCCCAUCAGGUCAGGACCAGCAGCGCACUCCGCAGAAAGGGCUUCACCUGAAGAAUUAUGCUCGAGAGAUUGCAGCUGUUCUUGCAUUAAAAGAUGAGCCGAGACAGUAA